rnacentral:rRNA from 1 species
GACGAACGCUGGCGGCGUGCUUAACACAUGCAAGUCGAGCGGUAAGGCCCUUUCGGGGGUACACGAGCGGCGAACGGGUGAGUAACACGUGGGUGACCUGCCCUCAGCUCUGGGAUAAGCCUGGGAAACCGGGUCUAAUACUGGAUAUGACUCCAUGACGCAUGUUGUGGGUGGAAAGCCUUGUGCGGCUGAGGAUGGGCCCGCGGCCUAUCAGCUUGUU